GGCUGCCUGGUCGGGCUGGUCGGCGGCGCCUUCCGGUGGUGCCUGGCGCACGCCGACGCGCUGCGCGGUUCCGUUCUGGAGACGGCCGCC
rnacentral:tRNA from 1 species